rnacentral:tRNA from 1 species
GAGGGUAUAGCUCAGUGGUAGAAUACCAUGUGUGCUUAACAUGCAUGAGGUCCUGGGUUCAAUCCCCAGUACCUCCA